UUGUUUUUUGCCUGGAACCCGUGAAGCUGUUUGUUUUGUUUUACUGGUGGUGUGAAUGCGCGCUCUCCCUGUCCAUGCGGCAACCCACGGUGCAAACCACCCGGACCUGCCGCAUCUCCCACCUGGGGGGUGUCACAUGGCAUGUGACAAACCUGGAACUGAUUCUGUUGAGAUGCCAAGAGUUUUUCAGGCGAUGCAACUUUGUGUCAGACAUGGCUGGAUGUAAUCAGACACCCCAACAUAACAGCCGAAGAAGUUCGCAAACAGGGACUAAGGGUAUGAAGUGACCACUCUGAAGGCACCGACUACCAAGGCGACCGUCAGAAGCCUGGAGCUGUAUCCACCGUUUUCCCAUCGUUGGUCGAACCGCUCGAGGUACGCCCACAUCAGACGUCGCACAAUGAUAUGCAUCCUGGAGUUCAACGCUAAACUGCCUGGGUCUACUUCCUGCAUUUGUAAAGGAAAACAACAAAACAGCGUAAAAUAUUAACAUAAUGAAAUAACUGAUCGAAAAGGGCGACACAGUCAUUAGAAGGACAAUAUCAGUCAUGAGAAGCAGAAGUGUUAUAAAGUGCAAUUCCCCUUUAAUGGUUAAUCUCAAUGGGAGAUGAAUGACAGUCACAAACCAGGGCAGGUUAUGAGAACUGAUAAGAAAGGAUCACAGUACAGUAACAAAAAGAGGAGGAGUAGUCUACUAUGCAAACAAAAGCUAAACGUGUGUUUAGUUGUUUGGACUGACCCCUUAAUUCCUUGAAGUGCAUAUUAUCCAAACUCUGGUUACAAUAGGCCAAUGUAGUUAGGAUCACUUGUUCUGCAAAUAAUAACAAAUAUCCUGAACUGUGUCCCUUCCUGUGAUAUAGUACAUGAUUUGAAAUAUGAUUUUGCAACAUGGCCCCUGGUUUGUUCAUCACCGUAGACUGGUUUCUCUCGCUCGCUCUCGGUCAGUUUCACUCACUGUA